rnacentral:rRNA from 1 species
AACGAACGCUGGCGGCGUGCCUAACACAUGCAAGUCGCGCGAGAACGGGGGGCAACUCCCUAGUAAAGCGGCGCACGGGUGAGUAACACGUAGGUAACCUACCCUCGAGUCCAGGAUAACCUACCGAAAGGUGGGCUAAUACCGGAUAUGACCACGGGAGCCACGGCUCCUGCGGUGAAAGGUGGCCUCUGCUUGCAAGCCACUGCUCGGAGAUGGGCCUGCGCGCCAUUAGCUAGUUGGUGGGGUAACGGCCCACCAAGGCGAUGAUGGCUAGCUGGUCUGAGAGGAUGGCCAGCCACACUGGGACUGAAACACGGCCCAGACUCCUACGGAGGCAGCAGUGGGGGAUAUUGCGCAAUGGGCGAAAGCCUGACGCAGCGACGCCGCGUGGGUGAUGAAGG